AAGACCUUUGCGCUUUUGGAGCGGCCGAUGUCUGAUUAGCUUGUUGGUAAGGUAAAAGCUUACCAAGGCUUCGAUCAGUAGCUGGUCUGAGAGGACGGCCAGCCACACUGGGACUGAGACACGGCCCAGACUCCUACGGGAGGCAGCAGUGGGGAAUUUUGGACAAUGGGGGCAACCCUGAUCCAGCCAUGCCGCGUGAGUGAAGAAGGCCUUCGGGUUGUAAAGCUCUUUCAGCCGGAACGAAACGGUUACGGUUAAUACCCGUGACUACUGACGGUACCGGAAGAAGAAGCACCGGCUAACUACGUGCCAGCAGCCGCGGUAAUACGUAGGGUGCAAGCGUUAAUCGGAAUUACUGGGCGUAAAGCGUGCGCAGGUGGUUUUGUAAGUCAGAUGUGAAAUCCCCGGGCUUAACCUGGGAACU
rnacentral:rRNA from 1 species